rnacentral:lncRNA from 1 species
UGAUAUCCAACCUAUCUCAUAGCCUACAUUUCAAUCAAAUAUAAAAUCCUACAUGAUCUAGAUGAGGUUGUUCCUACAUUAGUGGAGAGUUACACGAUAGCCAAGCUUAUGGUACUUUGGAAGGCAUGAGUCAUUUCUUUGUGAGGGUGAGCGAUUGUUAUGUAUUGCUCGAGGCCGUUAAUUGAAAAUUGGUGUGUGAAUGGGCAUUGUAUCUUUCUUGUGAGGUGCAUCGAGGAUUUGGUGCAAAUUUGACCACAACACUAGUGGAAUGUUAUAACCAGGUUUGAGGUUGAAUGUGACCCCAAUAUGGUAUCAAGUUGAUUUAGCCGGCCACUUGUCUAAGGCAGUUGCAGUAUUAGGAGCAUUUUUAUUUUAGAUUUGCUCGGACGAGCAAAAUCUAAGCGUGGGGGUGUUUGAUGAGCUUAAAGUCACUUAUUAUUUCAGCCCAUUUUCUGUCUUUGUUUUGGCUGAUUCGAUAGCGAUUUGGUCAGGUUUGGGUCUAAUAUGUUUUAUUUCAGUACAGGUGAUGCAGGGGGGAAUAUGGACGAAGAGUGCACUUAGUAGGAGGAAAAAGAGUUGAGCAAAAGUAAAAUCCAGGUGGGCGACCGUGCACAAGAGACCACCAGCGCGCACCUGAGAGCACAAGUGACACCGUAUUCUGCUAGAGGAGCGCGACUAUGAGCGCGGUUACACUUCCAGGUGCACAGCCGCGUACGUCCGCUUCUGGGAAUUUGACCCAGGACAAUUUUUGUAAAUUUGGAUAUGGCCCUUUUUUGAUUUAUAUGAAGCGUAUCUCGUCUCAAAGAGAUGUAUCGGGGCAUUUUGGAGCAACUUUGGUAGAGAAGAAGGCAAGGAAACAACGGAGACUCGAAAUACUCCAUCCAGUUCAUUCAACACGGAAGUUUAUUUGAUUUUGAGAAUUGUAAUAUCUUCUUCGUCUUCUAAUACUCUUGUGAUAAAUAACUUCUCCAUUAUGGAGUAAUAUUUCUUAGGGUUAUUGACGGAUAUUGUGAAUGGACUAUUGUUUUGGGGUUUGCUUUGUGUUAAUUUUCUGAAUUCGUUGAAUGAGUUAUUAAUUGAAUGCAAAGGCUAGUUGUGGUUUUACUUUAAUCGUAAGAGAAGUGUUGCUGCAAUUCGCAUUGUGUUAUCUUAUUUAGGUUGAUUUUACGCCUCUCAUAGGUAAUCGAUAGAGCUUAGAGAGUUAUUAAUUGAUCCAAUUUGGAAGAAUAAUCGAGAGACGUUCUUCGUAAGAUCAUUCAUUCAAUGUAUUUUUGCAUGUGGUCAUAGAACCUGUUAUUAGGUUGGUUAAAGGAACUCUCAUUCAUUCGGAAGAAGAAUCUGAAUCUUUAAGAUAGCCUAAUCAUCUGUUGAAAUCGAAAGAGUCAAUAGAAGUUAGCAGUGAACUUAGCACGGAGUUACCCAAAAUAAUAGUUGAUCACUUAUCCUGUCACAACCCUUACUUCUCACCUUGAUACUUAAUUGUUGCUACUUCAUCACUAAAUUUCCAAUAUUUUCUCAUAAUCGAUAAUCUUAGUUUUUACCAUUAGUCGGUAAUAACUUAAAUCAAAACUUUAUUUUUCUGGAUAGUGUUAAGCUGAAGAUUUAUUAGAACAUUAUUUAUACCAAUCCCUGUGGAGACUAUAAAUAUGUAAUUUUUGACCCUCCCCAAGAUUUUACAUAUUUUAGUAUUUAAAUAUCUAGUUUAGGUCUAGCAUCGUUAUUUUAAUUAGUUUUGACUCUUUUAGUUUAUUUUAAGAAUAAAAAUUGAAAAUUAAAAAAAAUAGUUCCAUAUUUCUCUAGUAAAUUCACGCAUUAGAUAUUUUAGAAUGAUAUAUUACUUUGAACCUAUUUUACUUUAAUAUAAUUUUUGAAAAUACCAAAAAUAGUUUCAUAUUUUAUAUAUAAUUUAGUUUAAUUAAUUAGAUUAAUUUUUGCAUUAUGCAGUAUAUUUAUCUUAUAUUAAAAGGAAUUUAACUAAGAUUUGGUCAUUUAUUUUUAGCCGAAUGUUAAGGCCCAAAUUUUUAAGCCCAACAAGACCUAAGCCAUUACCCCUUCUUCUUUAACCCUUCCCUAACCCUUUCUUCUUCAGCUAGACAAUAACAAACCCUAGAGAUACCAAGACAACAACCACCCUCCCAACCGGACGAAUACCACAAAAAACACACACAGCCGCCAUUGACGCCUUCACUGCCGCCCGCCAGCUUCUCUCCACACCGACGACCCACAUCUCCCUCGAUUUUAAAGAACCAGCGAUAAACACACAGCAAACAGAAGAAGACGGAGGAACGGAGAAACCCAAGAAUGAGUUCCAAAAACGCAGCCAUGAAUCUCCAUCUUGUUUUACCAUUUUUCUUCCAUAUAUAAAAUCAUAGCAUUAUAUGUCUCUGAAAAAUAAUUUCAAAAUCAAAUUCAAAAAUCAUGAUUCAUACGGAUCUGAAAUUUAGUGAAAGUAGGCAAGUUGAAUUUGGUUUCACUCUUUGAACCUCUGUUUCGAGGCUUCUUAAUUCGUGGUUUGUUCGAGGGUUCCGGUCAGCGAGCUUGGUAGGAGUUCGAGGUUGCCGACAAGGAUUUCCGGUCAAGCUCUGGUCUCGAUUCACGUUCUGGCACUGCCAAUGUAAUCAGAAAAGCUAUCAUUUUGAGGUUAUCUCUUACUUUGAUUCUGAAUUUUUAUAUUUGUGUCUUGUGCCCAAUCUUUGGUGAUUAUGAAUGUUGAAUAAUUGUUUUGCUCAUGGUGUAUUUAGAAUCUUUUUAGUUUGAUUUAUUCAAGUUGGUCAGCCUAUAUGCGAGACAUUAUUUGGAAAUAGAAGUGAAUUUGUAUAGUUUUUUUUAGAAUACGGAAUGCACAUAGUCUAUUUGGUUAACAAUUUUAUGCUAAAACUCAUCGAGACCAUAAAAUAGACUACGAUAGUGAUUAGAAUUAACGGUAUUCGAGUUUGCCGUUUAAGUUUUUUGGAUUAUUAUUUUACCAUGCCAAAUUGUUAAGUUGAGUCGUAACUUAAAUUAAUUUUAUUAUUUGAUACUUUCGUUAGGAACAUGUUUAGGCCGAUCACAUUUGGGUAGGCAAACUCUAGGAUUUUGUUUUAUUUAAUUUUGAGGCGAGAGGUCGUUCCCUUAGUUAAAUUUAUCCGGGGAAUGCCCCUAAGGAUUUGUAUAUAUAUUAUUUCGGGGAAUGCCCCGUCGUACAUGUAAA